GAUUACUGACUCGCACAGUAUCUCUGAACCGUCUGAUUUUGGGCAACAGAUAAAAUGGUUUUUGCCGUACCACAGAGGAUCCUCCUGAUCUGCCUGCUUCAUUUUUCUACUUGUGCAUUCGGUCAGACUGUGAACCAAAAAACUCUCAUGAAUAUUAUAAACAACUUUGAGAAUCAGUUAGGUAGCAUGGGACAAUAUGCUGUCGCCUUCAGAGUUGAAAUGAACAGAUGUCAAGAUUCCAACUACGGCGGUCAAGAGUUAAUAACUACACAAGUAAAAACAAACACUUCAGCGCAAUGAGGUUUAUAAGAGCAAUAACCUUAUUGCUGCAAAGGCUGACAAAAAUAUACGAGAUCAUUCAGAGUUUCGCCUGAAGAAUUAUCUAAAGAAUGUUUUGAGUGUAACAAACCAGUGUGUGGUUUAUUUUACUGUAAAUUCACCCUGUUUGGAUAAAUGCAUAUCAGAUAAAUGGAAAUUCAACAUUAAAGACAAUCUUAAAAAGUUAGAAGAAUAUGAGGGAAUCAAAGCCUUUGCAUUCAAAAAAAUUUGGCAAUAUGAUGAAAGGGAGGAGGUGAUAAGGAGACUGAAAGGAAUUGCAUCUGCUUUGCCAUAUUAUCAGUGUGAGAGAAACAAAGCUACAUGUGAUCGCCUGUAAGAAAAGCAAUGCUUGAUGUAGCUGGUUUCCUCACACAGACAGUUUUAUUUAGCUUUUCUGUUUUAAUUGCAACAUUAGCAAAUUGGCAAAUAAAAUCAAUCAUCUGUAAAAAGCAUACAUUUUGAUAUUGCAUGCUUGAUAGAUGACAGUUAUUGUUAAAGUAAACUAAUGACAGCAUGUCUGCUUACUGCUGGAGCAAAUAAAAAUUGCUUUUAUUGAGCAUCA